GGCCGGCUGGCGCAAUGGUAGCGCAUCAGACUUCUACGAUCUCUUGGCAAUUACCAGAGGUUUGGCAAUCUGGGGGUUGUGGGUUCGAGCCCCACGUUGGUCA
rnacentral:tRNA from 1 species